CCCCUAGAUGUUCUGGGCCGCACGCGCGCUACACUGAACAGUUCAACAAGUCUUAACCUUGGCCGAUAGGUCUGGGUAAUCUUUGAACGCUGUUCGUGAUUGGGAUAGACCUUUGCAAUUAUGGGUCUUCAACGAGGAAUUCCUAGUAAACGCAAGUCAUCAGCUUGCAUUGAUUACGUCCCUGCCCUUUGUACACACCGCCCGUCGCACCUACCGAUUGAAUGGUCCGGUGAAGGCUUCGGAGGCGGCUUUCUCAAUGUUUAUUCGGCGAGACUGCUGCCAAAGUUGAAUGAACCUUACCAUUUAGAGGAAGGUGAAGUCGUANCA
rnacentral:rRNA from 1 species